rnacentral:rRNA from 1 species
UACGUAGGUGGCAAGCGUUGUCCGGAAUUAUUGGGCGUAAAGCGCGCGCAGGCGGUCCUUUAAGUCUGAUGUGAAAGCCCACGGCUCAACCGUGGAGGGUCAUUGGAAACUGGGGGACUUGAGUGCAGGAGAGAAGAGUGGAAUUCCACGUGUAGCGGUGAAAUGCGUAGAAUAUUUGGAGGAACACCAGUGGCGAAGGCGGCUCACUGGACGU